GCACUGCCUGGGCCUCUGCCUCUGCCGCCAGAACCCUUGAUGGGAGCAGGCUGGGUCCCAGUGAGUAGCUCUGCCACCUGUGGAAAACCGACUUGGGAGUCAAGCCAGGGGGCGUCACUCCUCCCCUCGACGGAAGGGAGCCCUGACCCUGGGGCCAGACAGAAGUCAGAGCUGCUUGGGGCGCGAGGCAGACCCAUCACCGGGGCUCAGGCUCCAGACCUGCCUGAGGGUCGUGAGAGCGAAGAAGCCAUGCACACCGGCUUUUGACAAACACCUGCCAAACACCUGCCGUGCUGCAGAGCAAGAGGGACUGCUGUCACCCUGAGCAGGCGACUCCCCGUGCCUGGGCCUCCGCAUCCUUCUCUUAGAAUGAACAGACCUGGCCUCCAGCUCUGAUGGCUACGACAGAUGUAAAAGAAUCUCACGCAGCACCCGCUCCCCAGAAAGGUGGCACUGCCCACUCAGCAGACGCUUGGCUUUGAUGGCAUCCAGAGGAAGCGUGGUGUCAGCCCUCACUUCCUCCUUCCCUUUCUCCCUCCCCCGCACUCAGCACCACCCUGGGCUCCACUGGACUGAGGCGGGGGUCUUGACAGGGCCAGGGUUGUCCCAGCCGAGGCAGCCCAGGAUCUAAACCGCAUGAGCUCCCACAAAGAAGCGUGCUCACCAUGUCCCAAGUGACGCGGGCGCUGAGUCACAGUCCCAGGCACAGCCUCGGCUGCUCUGCCACUCCUGUGAACUCCCCAGAUCACUCACCCCGGGGCCCUGGGCCACCACGGUGCCCUGAGAAAGAGCCCAAGAAAGCCCAGAAUUAGUCAUAAGAUGUGAAAUCAGAAUCACACAGGCCAUGUGCCCAACCUUUAAACAGCCAGGGCAGCUCCACCCCACGGCUCCUCUGUAGGCCCCAGACAACGGGCAGGGGAGGGCAGCCAGGCCUGUACCCAGACAGGCCUGAAGGCAGGGCUCCUGGGGGCCAUCUGUCUAAAUCAUCAGUUCCCGUUGUGGCUCAGUGGUUAACCAAUCCGACUAGGAACCAUGAGGUUGCAGGUUCAAUCCCUGGCCUUGCUCAGUGGGUUAAGGAUCCAGCGUUGCUGUGAGCUGUGGUGUAGAUCAAAGAUGUGGCUUGGACCCCAUGUUGCUGUGGCUGUGGUGUAGGCCAGUGGCUCCAGCUCCGAUGAGACCCCUAACCUGGAAACCUCCAUAUGCCUCAGGUGCGGCCCUAAAAAGACAAAAGACUAAAUAAAUCAAUAAAUAACAUCAGUUUAAAGUCCUCUUAAGAACAUGGGUUUCCUCUGAUCUGUGAGCUGCCCAAGCAGACAGGACCGUCUCCAUCCUUCCCAUGAAGAAAGAGAGGCUGCAGGAGGCUGGCGGAGGUGCCCCUGGAAGGCACCGGCUAUGACUGCUCUGGGUCAGGACCGAGUCUGCCUUUAGGGCCCAGUCUGGUUCUGGCGAGUCUGCCGAGUUACCUGGGUAGCAUGACAGCUCUUUGUUCACCGCCCUUUAAAC
rnacentral:lncRNA from 1 species